rnacentral:misc_RNA from 1 species
AAUUGCAAUAGCUGUGAUUUGGAGUCCAGACAUCUGAAGUACACUUCUUUCUUUCAUAAUAUGAAUGCUAGUGCCCUCCGAAAAAUGAAGGUCAUGCGUUCUGNNNNNUUAAAUCUAGUAGAGAUGAAUCAUCAAUUGGCUUGUGAUCCUGAGGUUGGUGGUUGUGGGAAGCUUAACUGUAUCCAUCAUAUUCUGUCAACUGCAC